rnacentral:RNase_P_RNA from 1 species
AAUCUGGUGAGGAAAGUCCGGGCUCCACCGGAAAAGAUGCCGGGUAAUAACCGGGGGAAUAAAGGCAGUUGUCUUUUUAGGCAUAACCCUUUGUUCUACAGAAAGUGCCACAGAAAAUAUACCGCCGAAAGGUAAGGGUGCAAAGGCGAGGUAAGAGCUCACCGCAAAAUUGGCAACAGUUUUGGCAUGGUAAACCUCAUCUGGAGCAAAAUCAAGCAGCAGUCAGUUUUUUCCGGAACAUAAACUGCGGGUAGGUUGCUAAAGGUUUUUGAUAACAAAAAUCUCGGAUAGAUGGUUAUGCGUAAAUUUUCUUUUUUAAGGAAAUUUACAGAACAGAACCCGGCUUACUUUCUUUUC